AAGAUGAAGAAGAAGAAGAAGAGAGAGUGACUCUUGUGGAACUACAAGACAAUAAAGGAAGACCCAUUUAUAACAUGCGACAACUCUCAGGCGAAAUUAUCGGAAUAACGCCGGUGAUCUCGCCGGAGAGAUUCUCUUCUUCAUUUAGUAACAGAGAGAGCGAGAGAGAAUCGGUGACCGCGCGUUUUUAUUUUCUCAUUUUAUUGUAAUAAAUAGAAGUGGAGACUUUGGACCGUUGGAUGGUAGAGAAUUAUUUGAUCUAACGGUUGUGUAUAGUUUAGUAAUAGAGACCACUUAAAUUUGACAAAGAGUAAUUGAACUUGACUACGUUACCUUGAUCAUUGAUUUUGAUUUGUACCACUUUGCAUGUCUACACGUUACCCAUUCG